rnacentral:rRNA from 1 species
UACACUCCUGCGGGAGGCAGCAGUGGGGAAUAUUGGACAAUGGGCGCAAGCCUGAUCCAGCCAUGCCGCGUGAGUGAUGAAGGCCCUAGGGUUGUAAAGCUCUUUCACCGGUGAAGAUAAUGACGGUAACCGGAGAAGAAGCCCCGGCUAACUUCGUGCCAGAAGCCGCGGUAAUACGCAGGGGGCUAGCGUUGUUCGGAUUUACUGGGCGUAAAGCGCACGUAGGCGGACUAUUAAGUCAGGGGUGAAAUCCCGGGGCUCAACCCCGGAACUGCCUUUGAUACUGGUAGUCUUGAGUUCGAGAGAGGUGAGUGGAAUUCCGAGUGUAGAGGUGAAAUUCGUGGAUAUUCGGAGGAACACCAGUGGCGAAGGCGGCUCACUGGCUCGAUACUGACGCUGAGGUGCGAAAGCGUGGGGAGCAAACAGGAUUAGAAACCCCAGUAGUCCCAUGA